GAUGAACGCUGGCGGCGUGCCUAAUACAUGCAAGUCGAGCGAACAGACGAGGAGCUUGCUCCUCUGACGUUAGCGGCGGACGGGUGAGUAACACGUGGAUAACCUACCUAUAAGACUGGGAUAACUUCGGGAAACCGGAGCUAAUACCGGAUAAUAUAUUGAACCGCAUGGUUCAAUAGUGAAAGACGGUUUUGCUGUCACUUAUAGAUGGAUCCGCGCCGCAUUAGCUAGUUGGUAAGGUAACGGCUUACCAAGGCAACGAUGCGUAGCCGACCUGAGAGGGUGAUCGGCCACACUGGAACUGAGACACGGUCCAGAGUCCUACGGGAGGCAGCAGUAGGGAAUCGUCCGCAAUGGGCGGAAGCCUGACGGAGCGACGCCGCGUGAGUGAUGAAGGUCUUCGGAUCGUAAAACUCUGUUAUUAGGGAAGAACAAAUGUGUAAGUAACUAUGCACGUCUUGACGGUACCUAAUCAGAAAGCCACGGCUAACUACGUG
rnacentral:rRNA from 1 species